rnacentral:lncRNA from 1 species
AUGACAUCCCGCGGGUCAGUGCCAUGGUGUGCAGCAAAGGCCAAGCUCUGCCCUUCUGCCUCUGUGGAGACGGGGAGGUUGGUCACCGGCUCCUCACUGCUGAGACGGAGGGAGGGCCCUCGAGCCAGGCUGGGGGGCACCUUGGCAGCAGGAUGGGCUUCGGUGUGGAAGCAUCUUCCCAGUGCCCAGCAUGGAGCUCGGGCUGAAGGCAGCAGCGUGUGGGAAGAAGGGACCUUUGCCCAUCUGUGGCACUGGGGAGUCUGGAGGGGAUGGGAAAGCAAACAGGGAAGCAGCAGAUGCUCUGCAGCACAGGGAGGGCUUAAGAGCCUGACUUCGGGCAGAGUCCUCUGCAAACUGUUGGGAAGCAGCAGGAAAUUCUGCCAGCGGUUCCCUGGGAAGCUCCUUUGGAAGCUCUGGCCAUGCUCCUUGUGCAUCCCAUUGAAUGCCUUUCUCUUCCAGAUGGCAUCAGCAGGACCUGUGCAUGAGCUCCCGUCUCUGGGGAACUCACUGGUUUGGCUGGAGGGGAAGAGGCAGGAGCUGAACGUGAAAACUACUCAGGUGUCAGCCAGGAAGGACUUCAUUCUCCAAUCAGUGUUUGAUGUCCUCAAAGAGAAUGGGGUCCACGGAUUGAAGAGAGAGGUGCCACUGUUGAUGCAGAGAGGACAUCCAAGAGCUUUGGUGGGAAAGGCUGGAAGAACCAUUGGCUUUCUCCACUCUUUUCCACCACAAAGCCUCCCAAGACACUCUUGCAGCCCAAUAUUUCUCCUGGCAACUGCUGGGCUUUCCAAGGAUCUCAGGGCCACGUGGUCAUCCAGUUGCCGGAGAAAAUCCGUCCCAUGGCGUUCACCAUCUGGCACAUCUCCAAGGCGGUCUCUCCCUCAGGGGAAGUCAGCAGUGCCCCCAAAGACUUUGCUGUCUUGCCUGCCUAAGUGUGACCGCUGUCAUCUCUUGUCUUUGAGGGAGUGGAUGAGGCCGAAGGUGAAACUCUCCUGGGGUUAUUUGUUUAUGACGUGUACAGAGAGAUCGCCCAGACCUUCCACAUGCAGGAGGAGCCCUGCAAAGCCUUUGGCCGUGUCAAAUUGGAGGUGCGGAGCAAUUGGAGAAAUGCAGAACACACCUGCGUGUACUGAGUGGAAAUUCACGGAACUUGAUAAAAGACAGCAGAGAUUUUUAGAAGGGAAUAAUUAAAAUAAAAUGUUGAUGGCUUUCUGCCCGUGUUGAGGU